GGAGGCGGAUUUGAACCACCGACCUUCGGGUUAUGAGCCCGACGAGCUACCGAACUGCUCCAUCCCGCGAUAAUAAAAAAUAAUGGCGGAGGAAGAGGGAUUCGAACCCCCGCGAGCCGUUAAGCCCCUGUCGGUUUUCAAGACCGAUCCCUUCAGCCGGACUUGGGUAUUCCUCCAUUAUUAUAGGUAAAUCGCUAUUAAUUAUAAAAUUAAAUGGCGGUCUCGACGGGAAUCGAACCCGCGAUCUCCUGCGUGACAGGCAGGCGUGUUAACCGCUACACUACGAGACCUAUAAAAUAUUGCGGGAGGCGGAUUUGAACCACCGACCUUCGGGUUAUGAGCCCGACGAGCUACCGAACUGCUCCAUCCCGCGAUAAUAAAAAAUAAUGGCGGAGGAAGAGGGAUUCGAACCCCCGCGAGCCGUUAAGCCCCUGUCGGUUUUCAAGACCGAUCCCUUCAGCCGGACUUGGGUAUUCCUCCAAAAUUAUAUGGACCUUGCAGGACUCGAACCUGCGACCGAACGGUUAUGAGCCGUUAGCUCUAACCAACUGAGCUAAAGGUCCUAAAUAUAAUUUUACAACUAAUAAAUAGUGGCGGUGGAGGGGAUCGAACCCCCGACCUCACGGGUAUGAACCGUACGCUCUAGCCAGCUGAGCUACACCGCCUUAUAUAGUUUGUAAAUAAUAUGGUGGAGACUAGCGGGAUCGAACCGCUGACCUCCUGCGUGCAAAGCAGGCGCUCUCCCAGCUGAGCUAAGCCCCCAUAAUAAUUACAGUAUAUCGGGAAGACAGGAUUCGAACCUGCGACCCCUUGGUCCCAAACCAAGUGCUCUACNUGCUGGAAGGUUAAGAGGAGUGGUUAGCUUCUGCGAAGCUACGAAUCGAAGCCCCAGUAAACGGCGGCCGUAACUAUAACGGUCCUAAGGUAGCGAAAUUCCUUGUCGGGUAAGUUCCGACCCGCACGAAAGGCGUAACGAUUUGGGCACUGUCUCAACGAGAGACUCGGUGAAAUCAUAGUACCUGUGAAGAUGCAGGUUACCCGCGACAGGACGGAAAGACCCCGUGGAGCUUUACUGUAGCCUGAUAUUGAAAUUCGGCACAGCUUGUACAGGAUAGGUAGGAGCCUUUGAAACGUGAGCGCUAGCUUACGUGGAGGCGCUGGUGGGAUACUACCCUAGCUGUGUUGGCUUUCUAACCCGCACCACUUAUCGUGGUGGGAGACAGUGUCAGGCGGGCAGUUUGACUGGGGCGGUCGCCUCCUAAAAGGUAACGGAGGCGCUCAAAGGUUCCCUCAGAAUGGUUGGAAAUCAUUCAUAGAGUGUAAAGGCAUAAGGGAGCUUGACUGCGAGACCUACAAGUCGAGCAGGGUCGAAAGACGGACUUAGUGAUCCGGUGGUUCCGCAUGGAAGGGCCAUCGCUCAACGGAUAAAAGCUACCCCGGGGAUAACAGGCUUAUCUCCCCCAAGAGUUCACAUCGACGGGGAGGUUUGGCACCUCGAUGUCGGCUCAUCGCAUCCUGGGGCUGUAGUCGGUCCCAAGGGUUGGGCUGUUCGCCCAUUAAAGCGGUACGCGAGCUGGGUUCAGAACGUCGUGAGACAGUUCGGUCCCUAUCCGUCGUGGGCGUAGGAAAUUUGAGAGGAGCUGUCCUUAGUACGAGAGGACCGGGAUGGACAUACCUCUGGUGUACCAGUUGUCGUGCCAACGGCAUAGCUGGGUAGCUAUGUGUGGACGGGAUAAGUGCUGAAAGCAUCUAAGCAUGAAGCCCCCCUCAAGAUGAGAUUUCCCAACUUCGGUUAUAAGAUCCCUCAAAGAUGAUGAGGUUAAUAGGUUCGAGGUGGAAGCAUGGUGACAUGUGGAGCUGACGAAUACUAAUCGAUCGAAGACUUAAUCAA
rnacentral:rRNA from 1 species